UACGGAGGAUGCGAGCGUUAUCCGGAUUUAUUGGGUUUAAAGGGUGCGCAGGCGGAGGCACAAGUCAGCGGUAAAAUCGCGGGGCUCAACCCCGCUCCGCCGUUGAAACUGUGUCCCUUGAGUGGGCGAGAAGUAUGCGGAAUGCGUGGUGUAGCGGUGAAAUGCAUAGAUAUCACGCAGAACUCCGAUUGCGAAGGCAGCAUACCGGCGCCCAACUGACGCUGAAGCACGAAAGCGUGGGUAUCGAACAGG
rnacentral:rRNA from 1 species